rnacentral:rRNA from 1 species
GCCCAAGAGAUCGGGAUAACACCUGGAAACAGAUGCUAAUACCGGAUAACAACAGAUGAUGCCUAUCAACUGUUUAAAAGAUGGUUCUGCUAUCACUCUUGGAUGGACCUGCGGUGCAUUAGCUAGUUGGUAGGGUAACGGCCUACCAAGGCUAUGAUGCAUAGCCGAGUUGAGAGACUGAUCGGCCACAUUGGGACUGAGACACGGCCCAAACUCCUACGGGAGGCAGCAGUC